UACGAAGGGUGCAAGCGUUAAUCGGAAUUACUGGGCGUAAAGGGUGCGUAGGCGGUUCGUUAAGUCUGUCGUGAAAUCCCCGGGCUCAACCUGGGAAUGGCGAUGGAUACUGGCGAGCUAGAGUGUGUCAGAGGAUGGUGGAAUUCCCGGUGUAACGGUGAAAUGCGUAGAGAUCGGGAGGAACAUCAGUGGCGAAGGCGGCCAUCUGGGACAACACUGACGCUGAAGCACGAAAGCGUGGGGAGCAAACAGG
rnacentral:rRNA from 1 species